rnacentral:rRNA from 1 species
GACGAACGCUGGCGGCGUGCUUAACACAUGCAAGUCGAACGGAAAGGCCCUGCUUUUGUGGGGUGCUCGAGUGGCGAACGGGUGAGUAACACGUGAGUAACCUGCCCUUGACUUUGGGAUAACUUCAGGAAACUGGGGCUAAUACCGGAUAGGAGCUCCUGCUGCAUGGUGGGGGUUGGAAAGUUUCGGCGGUUGGGGAUGGACUCGCGGCUUAUCAGCUUGUUGGUGGGGUAGUGGCUUACCAAGGCUUUGACGGGUAGCCGGCCUGAGAGGGGGACCGGCCACAUUGGGACUGAGAGACGGCCCAGACUCCUACGGGAGGCAGCAGUGGGGAAUAUUGCACAAUGGGCGGAAGCCUGAUGCAGCAACGCCGCGUGCGGGAUGACGGCCUUCGGGUGGUAAACCGCUUUCGCCUGUGACGAAGCGUGAGUGACGGUAAUGGGUAAAGAAGCACCGGCUAACUACGUG